rnacentral:rRNA from 1 species
UACGGGGGGGCAAGCGUUGUUCGGAAUUACUGGGCGUAAAGGGCUCGUAGGUGGCCAACUAAGUCAGACGUGAAAUCCCUCGGCUUAACCGGGAACUGCGUCUGAUACUGGAUGGCUUGAGUUCGGGAGAGGGAUGCGGAAUUCCAGGUGUAGCGGUGGAAUGCGCAGAUAUCAGGAGGAACACCGAUGGCGAAGGCAGGUCUCUGGGCCGCAACUGACGCUGAGGAGCGAAAGCAUGGGGAGCGAACAGG